UUCUUUUUAGAAAUAUUUCAAUUUUCAUUUGGUUUAAUUUUUAAUCUAUAAUAGAAGAAGACAUGCACUUUUUGGAAAUAUAUUGAUCAAAUUUUGAAGUAAUUUUAAUUUGACAUUUAAAAUUUCUUGUUGAUUUACCAAUUCUCUUUGUAAAGAAAUACAAUUUAAUUCUAUAAAACUCGUAUAGAUUAUUGCAGAGUAAAAACACUGACUAUUAAGAAAUGUUUUCCUUUAUCUUUGAUGUUUGAGCUUUUCAACAAAUAAUUUAAAAUAAGACUUAUACUAAAAUAUAUUUUCAUUGAAUAUACAAUUUUAAAAAGAUGAAAUAAGAAAGUUCUAAAAUAUUUUAUGUUAAAUUAGAAAUAAAAAUUUAAGUUACGAUUUUAUAUUUUUUGGACUGUAGU
rnacentral:lncRNA from 1 species